ensembl:snoRNA snoRNA:Psi18S-841d snoRNA:Psi18S-841d
UGCAAAUGCACUCUGUGUCACAUUAAAACUAGCUUCGUGUGAUGACAAUUUGUUAGUUUGCCAGAUCAAGGAGAUGCGUCUUAUCCAUGUGGCUGAGUUCUUACCAAUUUAUUCACAUUGAAAACGCCCCUAACAUGA